AUACUUACCUGGCAGGGGAGAUAGCAUGAUCACGAAGGUGGUUUUCCCAGGGCGAGGCUUAUCCAUUGCACUCUGGAUGUGCUGACCCCUGCGAUUUCCCCAAAUGUGGGAAACUCGACUGCAUAAUUUGUGGUAGUGGGGGACUGCGUUCGCACUUUCCCCUGG
rnacentral:snRNA from 1 species